AGCGAACGCUGGCGGCAGGCCUAACACAUGCAAGUCGAACGAACUCUUCGGAGUUAGUGGCGGACGGGUGAGUAACACGUGGGAACGUGCCUUUAGGUUCGGAAUAACUCAGGGAAACUUGUGCUAAUACCGAAUGUGCCCUUCGGGGGAAAGAUUUACCGCCUUUAGAGCGGCCCGCGUCUGAUUAGCUAGUUGGUGGGGUAAUGGCCCACCAAGGCUACGAUCAGUAGCUGGUCUGAGAGGAUGACCAGCCACAUUGGGACUGAGACACGGCCCAAACUCCUACGGGAGGCAGCAGUGGGGAAUCUUGCGCAAUGGGCGAAAGCCUGACGCAGCCAUGCCGCGUGGAUGAUGAAGGUCUUAGGAUUGUAAAAUCCUUUCACCGGUGAAGAUAAUGACUGUAGCCGGAGAAGAAGCCCCGGCUAACUUCGUGCCAGCAGCCGCCGUAAGAC
rnacentral:rRNA from 1 species